CGGUCGUCAACAUAGUUCGAUAAGUUAAGGAGCUAAGUAUUCCAAAGCUUUGUCCAAACGGGCUCCUUUAUUGGAGAUGGCAUCUUCUCAGCAUUUAUGCCACGUGGAAUAAUGUUCAGGAGGUGAAGCUGCAAUCGCAGAAACAGCUCCUUUCAACAAUCCCGGAUGCAUCCAUCCCCUACACUGGCCUCAGGGGUUGCUUUGCUUACACCAAGGGAGGGCUUUGUUGUCACAGUUCCAGAUCCAGGCAUGUCAUCACCUGGGUUGUUAUCACUUCCCUGGACAUGGAUAAUUAAAAUCUCUCAAUACUAAAAAGGAUGAGGUGAGUUAAGUUGCAGAGAAUGUAUGAACAUACACUUUCCUCAAAGUUUGGUUGUAGUGGACGCUCAUCGUGGUCUGAGAGAUGCUCUUGUUAAGUAAAGUUGAAUGCCGACAGCUUUAACUGGAAAGUGUAUGUCCUCCAAACUAAAUCCUUGAGACAUUCUGGAAGGG
rnacentral:lncRNA from 1 species